rnacentral:rRNA from 1 species
CGGGCGAAGCCUGAUGAGCGACGCCGCGUGAGGAAGGACGGCCUUCGGGUUGUAAACCUCUUUCAGCAGGGAAGAAGCGAAAGUGACGGUACCUGCAGAAAAAGCGCCGGCUAACUACGUGCCAGCAGCCGCGGUAAUACGUAGGGCGCAAGCGUUGUCCGGAAUUAUUGGGCGUAAAGAGCUCGUAGGCGGCUUGUCACGUCGGUUGUGAAAGCCCGGGGCUUAACCCCGGGUCUGCAGUCGAUACGGGCAGGCUAGAGUUCGGUAGGGGAGAUCGGAAUUCCUGGUGUAGCGGUGAAAUGCGCAGAUAUCAGGAGGAACACCGGUGGCGAAGGCGGAUCUCUGGGCCGAUACUGACGCUGAGGAGCGAAAGCGUGGGGAGCGAACAGGAUUAGAUACCCUGGUAGUCCACGCCGUAAACGGUGGGCACUAGGUGUGGGCAACAUUCCACGUUGUCCGUGCCGCAGCUAACGCAUUAAGUGCCCCGCCUGGGGAGUACGGCCGCAAGGCUAAAACUCAAAGGAAUUGACGGGGGCCCGCACAAGCGGCGGAGCAUGUGGCUUAAUUCGACGCAACGCGAAGAACCUUACCAAGGCUUGACAUACACCGGAAAGCAUCAGAGAUGGUGCCCCCCUUGUGGUCGGUGUACAGGUGGUGCAUGGCUGUCGUCAGCUCGUGUCGUGAGAUGUUGGGUUAAGUCCCGCAACGAGCGCAACCCUUGUCCCGUGUUGCCAGCAAGCCCUUCGGGGUGUUGGGGACUCACGGGAGACCGCCGGGGUCAACUCGGAGGAAGGUGGGGACGACGUCAAGUCAUCAUGCCCCUUAUGUCUUGGCUGCACACGUGCUACAAUGCCCGGUACAAUGAGCUGCGAUACCGCAAGGUGAGCGAAUCUCAAAAAGCCGGUCUCAGUUCGGAUUGGGUCUGCAACUCGACCCAUGAAGUCGGAGUCGCUAGUAAUCGCAGAUCAGCAUUGCUGCGGUGAAUACGUUCCCGGGCCUUGUACACAU